rnacentral:lncRNA from 1 species
AACAUUCUUUCAAACUGGAAUCACCAAUCAAAGUCCUACACAGGACUGGGCUCAAGGCAGACCCAACUACCAGCGGACUGGCCUGAGUCAGAACUGGCCCACAAUGCUCCUCCAGAGUGAUGUGUCUUGGCCAGAGCCCAGACCUCCAAGAGACGAUGCCCAGGUCCUAGAAAGAAACUUUGGCUUGUGAUGUCUCCUGGCACCAUCUGGUGUUAAAGGUCACAUUGAUCCUCAGAUAUUCAGGAAGAUAUAUACAGAUGUGUAUCACUUCAUUCAUCCACUCAACUAUCCAUUCUUCUACCCAUCUGCUGGUUAAUUAAUUAGUUCAUUUAUCCAAAUAACGUCUAUUGAGCACCUUUGUAUACAAAGUUUCUGUUUCAUGUAUUUCUCUGAUGGUUUCAGGCAUGUAUUUCAUCUUGGGAGCAUGCUUCCUCUCUAGCGGUGGCUACAGCCUUGCCUGGUCUAACUUUAAUUAAAU